GACGAACGCUGGCGGCGUGCUUAACACAUGCAAGUCGAACGGAAAGGCCAUGCUCUUGUGGGGUGCUCGAGUGGCGAACGGGUGAGUAACACGUGAGUAACCUGUCCUUGACUUUGGGAUAACUUCAGGAAACUGGGGCGAAUACCGGAUAGGAGCUCCUGCUGCAUGGUGGGGGAUGGAAAGUUUCGGCGGUUGUGGAUGGACUCGCGGCUUAUCAGCUUGGUGGUGGGGUAGUGGACUACCAAGGCUUUGACGGGUAGCCGCCAUGCGAGCGUGACCAGCCUCCUGACUACUGAGAUACGCCCCAGUCUCCUACAGGACGCAACAGUCGGGAAUAUGCCGAAACGAGCCCAAGUCUGUUGCAGCAACGCCGCGUUCGGCAUGACCUCUUUUUAGUUGUAAACAGCUUUCGCCUGUGACAAAGCGUUAGUGACGGUAAUUAAUCAAGAAGCACCGGCUAACUACGUG
rnacentral:rRNA from 1 species